AGUGAACGCUGGCGGCAGGCCUAAUACAUGCAAGUCGAACGGCAGCACAGCAGAGCUUGCUCUGUGGGUGGCGAGUGGGCGGACGGGUGAGGAAUACGUGGGAAUCUGCCCAGUCGUGGGGAUAACGUAGGGAAACUUACGCUAAUACCGCAUGCGCCCUUCGGGGGAAAGCCGGGGGACCUUCGGGCCUGGCGCGAUUGGAUGAGCCCACGUCGGAUUAGCUAGUUGGCGGGUAAAGGCCCACCAAGGCGACGAUCCGUAGCUGGUCUGAGAGGAUGAUCAGCCACACUGGAACUGAGACACGGUCCAGACUCCUACGGGAGCAGCAGUAGGGAAUAUUGGACAAUGGGCGCAAGCCUGAUCCAGCCAUGCCGCGUAGAGUGAAGAAGG
rnacentral:rRNA from 1 species